rnacentral:lncRNA from 10 species
GAGACUCCCGAGACCCCCCCAAGUCAGGGCUUUUCGCUGGUCUCGCAGCCCCAGCCCAGCAGCUGCUGCAGUCUUGCAUGUUGUGGAUGCAAGCAUUUUGCUGAGGAAACUGCAUAGCGUUCCCAGGACUCUAGGGCCCACGACCCCUCAAAAGUUAAGAGCCGCUGAUCUAAUCUAACCCCACUUUCACCCUCAGUUAACAAAAGAGGAAAACUGAGGCCUGAGAGGGUGUGACUUGCCUGAAAUACCUAACCUGGUGAGUGAUGGGUGGAACCAGCUCCUAGGCUUUCUGCGCAGGUGUCCAGGGACAGAGAAGGGUGGUUUAAACUAGAGAGGUGGCAGGCAGAAGUAGAUGGAUCACCUGAGGUCAGGAGUUCACGACCAGCCCGGCCAAUAUGGUGAAACCUCGUCUCUACUAAAAAUACAAAAAAAAAAAAAAAAAAAGCUGGGCAUGGUGGGUGGCAGGCGUUUGUAAUC